rnacentral:rRNA from 1 species
AACGAACGCUGGCGGCAUGCCUAACACAUGCAAGUCGAACGAGACCUUCGGGUCUAGUGGCGCACGGGUGCGUAACGCGUGGGAACCUGCCCUUAGGUUCGGAAUAACUCCCCGAAAGGGGUGCUAAUACCGGCUAAUGUCUUCGGACCAAAGAUUUAUCGCCUUUGGAUGGGCCCGCGUUGGAUUAGCUAGUUGGUAGGGUAAAAGCCUACCAAGGCGACGAUCCAUAGCUGGUCUGAGAGGAUGAUCAGCCACACUGGGACUGAGACACGGCCCAGACUCCUACGGGAGGCAGCAGUGGGUAAUAUUGGACAAUGGGCGAAAGCCUGAUCCAGCAAUGCCGCGUGAGUGAUGAAGGCCGUAGAGUUGUAAAGCUCUUUUACCCGGGAUGAUAAUGACAGUACCGGGAGAAUAAGCUCCGGCUAACUCCGUG